rnacentral:rRNA from 1 species
UUUCGCAAUGCCCGAAAGGGUGACGAAGCGACGCCGCGUGGGUGAGGAAGGCCUUCGGGUUGUAAAGCCCUGUCAGGAGUUAAGAAAUGUAAGUGCGCUAAUAUCGCAUUUAUUUGACGAAGGCUCCAAAGGAAGUCACGGCUAACUCUGUGCAGCAGCCGCGGUAAUACAGAGGUGGCAAGCGUUGUUCGGAAUUAUUGGGCGUAAAGAGCACGUAGGUGGGUUUGUAAGUCAGAUGUGAAAGCCUUCUGUUCAACGGAAGAAUUGCAUCUGAAACUGCGAGUCUUGAGUGUAGGAGGGGAGAAUGGAACUUCUGGUGGAGCGGUGAAAUGCGUAGAUAUCAGAAGGAACGCCGGCGGCGAAAGCGAUUCUCUGGCCUAUUACUGACACUCAGUGUGCGAAAGCUAGGGGAGCAAACGGGAUUAGAUACCCCGGUAGUCCUAGCCGUAAACGAUGGGCACUAAGUAGAGGGGUUUUA